UACUUCUCGUGUCUUGCUUAAACCAAUGUUAAAAAAACAAACAAUGUAACGUGUAUUUCCCCUUUAACAGGAUUUCUUGAUGCGACACAAAGGCUACCUUGAUGCCUGGAUUGGCCUCAGGAGGGAACCAGGCCAGCCCUGGAAGUGGCCCAAUGGCUCAGUAUUCAACGACCUGUUUCGAAUAGGAGAAGGAGGAGAAUGUGUCUAUAUAUACAAAAACACCAUCAGCAGUUCAGGGUGCUACAUAAAGAGGAACUGGAUCUGUAGCGAACCUGAUGAAUUUGCGAAGAGAGAGAUGACUUGAGAACUACAGGAACUCCUCACUUAACGUUGUCCCAGUUAACAUUGUUACGUUGCUGAUCAAUUAGGGAACAUGCUCGUUUAAAGUUGUGCAAUGCUCCCUUAUAACAUUGUUUGGCAGCCGCCUGCUUUGUCCACUGCUUGCAGGAAGAGCAGCCCAUUGGAGCUUGCUGAUGGGGGCCUGCAACCAGUGGUGUAGCCAGGAUUCAUAGAUUCAUAGAUUAUAGGACUGGAAGGGACCUCGAGAGGUCAUGGAGUCCAGUCCCCUGCCCGCAUGGCAGGACCAAAUACUGUCUAGACCAUCCCUGAUAGACAUUUAUCCAACCUACUCUUAAAUAUCUCCAGAGACGGAGAUUCCACAACCUCCCUAGGCAAUUUGUUCCAGUGUUUAACCACCCUGACAGUUAGGAACUUUUUCCUAAUGUCCAACCUAGACCUCCCUUGCUGCAGUUUAAACCCAUUGUUUCUGGUUCUAUCCUUUAGAGGCUAAGGUGAACAAGUUCUCUCCCUCCUCCUUAUGAUACCCUUUUAGAUACCUGAAAACUGCUAUCAUGUCCCCCCUCAGUCUUCUCUUUUCCAAACUAAACAAGCCCAAUUCUUUCAGCCUUCCUUCAUAGGUCAUGUUCUCAAGACCUUUAAUCAUUCUUGUUGCUCUUCUUUGGACCCUUUCCAAUUUCUCCACAUCUUUUUUAAAAUGCGGCGCCCAGAACUGGACACAAUACUCCAGCUGAGGCCUAACCAGAGCAGAGUAGAGUGGAAGAAUGACUUCUCGUGUCUUGCUCACAACACACCUGUUAAUACAUCCCAGAAUCAUGUUUGCUUUUUUUGCAACAGCAUCACACUGUUGACUCAUAUUUAGCUUGUGGUCCACUAUAACCCUAGAUCCUUUCUGCCUUACUCCUACCUAGACAGUCUUUUCCCAUUCUGUAUGUGUGAAAUUGUUUUUUCCUUCCUAGGUGGUGCACUUUGCAUUUGUCUUUGUUAAACUUCAUCCUGUUUAACUC
rnacentral:lncRNA from 1 species